rnacentral:lncRNA from 1 species
GUACGGUGGUGUGUCCUGACUGAGGAGGAUGAGGGAGCCCUUCUAAGUGGCAAUUUCUCUGGAUCUUGAACAGUGAAUAGCUUUGGGGCGGUGGGGGAGGGGCGGGCGGGAUGUAGCUCCAUGGAAGAGCACCUGCCUGAGGUGGGGUGGGGGCAAAAUGGCCUAAGCAGUAAGAAAUGGAUGCAGGGAAGUGGAGGCUGUGUUGGGGGAUGCAGGAGGUCAGCAAGGAAGAGGCUGGAAAAAUGUGUCCUAUUGUCUCAGAUGAGGAACACCUAUAAAAACUUAAAUAUAGUAUGUAAUAUGUAAUUAUAUAAUGUGUAAUAUUAUAAAAUUAUAAUAUAAUAUUAACUAAUAUCUUAAUAUAUAUAAGCUUCAGAUUAUGGUUUCCUAUCUCUUUUAAUGCAUUUAUGUCAAUGUUGUUGAAAUAUUUGCAGAAUUGAAAACUUUGGACUUAAUGGGUUAAGUUAUUGGAAACUUGUAAGGACUAAAAUGUUAAUGAUUAAUAAUCUGUUAAUAUGUAACCUGCUGGGAGUGCCAACACUUUUUAAAAGGACUUUGGAGCCUGGAAGACUUUGGCUCAAAGGUAGUUGGCUUUAUUUUUUUAAUCAUGGAAAAUUUCAAUAAUAUAAUAUACCCUAUGUAUUCAUCUUUUGGCUUCAGUAAUUAAUCACUCAGAGCCAAUUGGGCCUCAUCCACAUUGCCAUUCGCUUCUCCCUUUCUAUAUUGUUUUAAAAUAAAUCUCAGAAACAAUGUUAUCUGAAAGAUUAAUACUCUAAAAAAACCCAUAAUAUCAUCAAUGUCAUCAAUUUUUUUUUGCAGUUUGUUUCAAUCAAGAUCAAAAUGAAAUCCAUACAUGCCAAUGGUUGAUCUGCCUUUUAAGUUUUUGUCUUUUUUUCUUUCAAUGUAUUUGUUAAAACAAAAACACACCCAAGUUGUUUGUCCUUUAGAAUUCCCCAGAGGUAGGACUUUGGUGAUGGCAUCAUUGUCUUGUGGCUUAAUGCUUCCCCAUCUCUGUAGUUGCUGUAGUUUGCUUUGUGGAUAUUGAUCAAAUUCAGGUUCGAUCUUUUGGACCAUUUUGUUGAUGGCAUUAUGUUCCCCAUCAGGAAGUACGUCAUGAAAACCUAGUUGUCUCUUUUUGCAAUGUUUCUACUCAUUGAUAAUAUCAAGAUAGAAAUGGAUUUUAAUAGAGGAAUUUCGGUAUACAAGAAGUUCAAUAGGCACAGCUAUUUUGGAAGACAGAGAAACAGAUGUUUUGGUACUUCUUAUAUGAAAUCUUAAUCAUACAAAGAAGGCAAGUUUUAAUAUUUUUUUUCAUAUAGCAUUGGCUGCAUUAUUCAGUGGACAUUGGCUGAGUGCCUACUAUAUACAGAGAACUGAAGUAGGUGGGUCCUAUGGAGAUCAUGGGAUUGAAUUGGAUAUAGAACCUGUGAUCAGGAGUAUCUAGGAUCCAGCAGAAGAGACAAGAACUCUGAUUCAAGAUAAAAGAGAUCAUCACCAUAAGAAUGGUAGAGGUAAACAUCUGACUUUCUGAGGGGGCCGGUCAAUUCUAACUGGGGGGAAAAAGAGGUCUUUGUGGAGUCCCAUGAAUACUCCCAUCGAGCUGAUCUGGGUGUGAUCUGGAAAGAAAAUGACAAAAAGAAGGGCAUAGAGGCAGGAGAUCCUAGGACAUGUCUGAGAAAACGUGAAUAGUUCCGUUCGGCUCAAAGGAGGGUAAGAAUCACGGGAAAUAGAGUUGGAAAAUUGGGUUUGGAGUGAAAUAUCCACCUACCAUACUGCCCAACCAUUCCUCUCCUAGGCUUUUACUCAAGAGAAAUGAAAUCCAUGUCACUCGAAGGUUUAUGCACAAUGUUCACAGUAAGCAGAAAUGAGAAUAGCAGCAGGUUCAUCUGGGAGCACCACACUGCUGUCUAGAGGGAAGAGGUCCUGAGGUACCCAGCAACGUGGAUCCUCACCUGUCAUUAAUGUGAUUGUGAAUGGAAAAAUAUGUGUGAGGGGGAGACUGGCUGUUUUGGGGGGUUUCGUUAUUUUCUGUACAGAAAGGUUGAAAAAUACAAAAUUUGGAAUUGUUAAGUCUGACUGCAGUCUUGACUUGUCAAAAUAAAGACACAUUAAAAAAAUAAAGAAUGAGAGGAAAAUGCAGAACUAAUCUAUAGUGACCAGAGCAGUGGCUGCUUAGAACUGGGGACUUAGGGAAUCCUGGGGGCGAGGUGGAUGGGGAAAGUGAUGGAAAGGCUUUGUUGCUGUACCUUGAUGGUGUAAAAACAUUUCAUGUGCAAAAACAAUCCAUUGAAACUCAUUGGCUAUACACUUUAAAUGGAUGCCACUUAUUGUACAUAAGUUAUCCAUUGAUAAAGCUGAUUUUUAAAGGCACAUUUGGGACACAUUGUAGAGGUUUUUGAAAGGCAGGCCAAAGUUCUGCAGGCUUUUGAAAAGGAGGGCGAAAUGAUUGUGUGGCCAGAUUCCAAAUUCUAAACUAAGCUCAGGCCAAACAGUUACACAACAUGUAUAGUCCAAAGUCCAGGAAAGAAAGCAUUUAGUGAUUUUAAGGAAAUUUGACAGAAUAAUUUUUGUUUAUUGAAUCUAAAAAUGAAAUCUAAUACUCUAAUAAUAUAAGUUGGAAACUGUAUUUUAUAUGUUUUUAUUUCCAGCCAACAUUUCUAGUAAUUCAUGUUUAUUGCAUUUACAAAACAGUUUUUAUAGACCAGAUUGGACAUUUAAAGAAAACCAACCCUUCACCACACCGUUUAGAAAGCACCAGCUUCAGAAGAGUGCAAGGCAGCCAGGCACAGUGGUGUAUACCUGUAAUCCCAGGGACUUAGGGAGGUUGAGGCAGAAGGAUUGCAAGUUUGAGGCUAACCUCAGCAAUUUUGUAAGCCCUAAGCAAUUUAGCAGGACCUGCUCAAAACAAACAAAAAAUACUAAAAAGGUCAGAAUGUUGCUCUGGGUUAAAGGAGCCUUGGAUUUCAACCCCAGUACCAAAAAAGAAAAAAAAAAAAAAAGAGAGAGAGAGAGAGAGAGAGAGAAGAAGAGGAAGAAGAAUGCAAAACAAGGUUUUACCUUUCUAGUUUAUGUAGGAUUAUUGAGAAAGAAACAGUGUGUUAAUUAAAAACUGGCUGUAGCUAGGCCCGGUGGCACUUACCUGUAAUCCCAGAGACUCAGGAGGCUGAGGUAGGAGGAUCUCAAGUUCAAUGCCGGCUUCAGCAAUUUAGGAAAGCCCUAAGCAACUUAGUGAAACCCUGUCUUAAAAUAAAAAAUUGAAAAAUGGCUAGGGAUGUGGCCCAGUGAUUAAGCAAUCCUGGGUCCAACUCCUGGUACCAAAUUUUUUUUUUGAAUAAAAAUAAAAGGUUGGCUAUAAAGAGACUUGAGGUUUGUGCAGAGUGGAAAUGUAGAAGGAGUGUCAGCAGCUGGGGCAAGUGGCUUUCAAGUGGCAAAGUAAUACAGCCCUCCUGGGUUCAAAGUCCUGCAGUGCUCCCAGAAAGUCGUUCUAUAUUCAGAUUAAAGUCUAGGCUGCUAUUAAAUAAAAAGGAACAAAACAACGGAGGGGAAAAUAGAAGCUUUCUUCUUCUUUUUCUAACCUCCUGCUAUAAGCUGGAGGGAGAACUACUUUCAGAUGUUUUAAGAAGUUAUGUAUCCUUAAGGAAAAUGUUAUGAAGAAAUAUAAGGAAGAAGAGGAAAGUCUAAUGUCAUAAGACACUGCGGAAAAAUGUCACUGUGUAAGAGCUCCAUACGUGGUGGGUGACAGGACUUGGGCUUUGUGCCUAACAGCACACCACGUGGUUAUAUAACAUACCAACACACACUCUCCUUUGGAGCCUGGCUGCCUUGCACAAUGACCCACAGCCUGCAGGGACCACACCCCCGAGGAGAAGACGAAAAUAGGUCUAUUCUUCAAGCAGAAAGGUGAUCAGGGAGAAAACGGCCCUUUAAACAUAGGGAGCAAUUUCUCUUCUAAGACAAGUAACCUCUGACUGGAGUCUCCCUGUUUGCCCAGGUCCAGGCCUGUGCAGGCAGUCAAGAAAGCACUUUGGAGAUUUUAACCAUGUUAAAUGAAAUAAAUUAUGUAAAAAUGUGUGUCAUAUAUAAAACAUAGUACAAAUGCAGGAAGCUAUGCAGAGUUUCCGACACCCCCCAGAAGCGUCUUUUUCACAACACACAACCACAUGCUAAUAAGUGUUUGCUGGUGACAUAAAUUGUGGCAAUCACUGCAGUUCUAAAGAUCAGAACCAUUCCUUCUCCUCUGAGAGAGUCGCCCAUUACCAAAAUAAGGCUGUGCACCAAACCACCCCCAAACUUAGUGGCUUAAAACAACGUCACUUGUUUAAGAUUUUUGUGGAUCAGCAACUUAGGCUGAGCUUAGCUGGGCAGUUCGGGUCUCAGGUGGUUUGGGGAAGACCUACACAAUCCUCAGCUAUCAGCCACCAGGUCCACUGGCCACUAUCACCCACCGGGUCCACUGGCCACUCAGGGGUGGUUUCCUCAGCUGGCACCAUCCGUCUUCUUCUGCUUGGUCUCUCCUCCCCAGCAGGCAGCCCAGGAGUGUUCUUGUGGGGAGACAGUGUUUGGAGAGAGAGAUUAGAUGGACUCACAAGGUCUCUGGAGGCCUCGUCUUGGAACCGUCACAUCAUCAACACUUCUGUUACAGUCGCACUGUCAAAACAAGUCACAAGGUUGGUGAGAAAUAGAUUUCAUGCCUUGGAGAAAAAAGUUACAAAGUCUCAUUGCAAAGGGCAGGAUCCAGAGAGGCCAUUGAUGCUACCGGUAUCACCUAUCCCAACUGAAACAUUUCAACCUGGCCUUUGUUGAAGUUGGGUGAGCCAUCUUUUUCUAAGAAGGAAUAUAAACAAGCUGCCUCUGAUCAAUAUAAUGAGGGAGGUGAGGUUGGUCCAAUUAUGUUUGGCUUCAGUUGGAACUAAAUCUCAGUGGGAGGUUAGGCAGAAUCCAAGACACACCAGGGUGGGGUGACAGUGAGAAAAUAGAAUGAGGGCCCAAGCAAGCAGAGAAGGAAACGAUAUACUGCAAACAUCUGAAGUCUCCAGAGAAACCAUCAAGUCACAAGAUUCAAAGACUUUACCUACCUGCCACUCAACAGAUGAAUGGAUAAAGAAAAUGUUGUACACAUACACAAUGGAAUAUUACUCAACUGUAAAGAAGAAUGAAUUUAUGGCAUUUUCUAGUAAAUGGAUGGAACUGGAGACUAUCAUGCUAAGUGAAAUAAGCCAAUCCCCAAAAAAACCAAAGGUAGAACAUUCUCUCUGAUAUGCAGAUGCUAACAUAAAAUGCAGGGGUGCAGGAUUUCAUUGGAUUAGACAAAAGGGAAUGAAGGGAAGGAAAGAAGGAUUGGAAUAGGAAACACAGUAGAAUGAACUGGAUAUAACUUUCCUAUGUUCAUAAAUGAAUGCACCACCAAUGAAAUUACACAUCAUGUACAAUCACAAUAAGGAGUUCCUGAUUAGAAUAAGUUAUACUCCAUGUAUGUAUAAUAUGUCAAAACACACUCUACUGUCAUGUAUAUCUAAAAAGAACAAAUAAAG